UAUGCUUCAGCAACACAUACUAAAAUUGGAAUGAUACAGAGAAGGUUAGCAUGGCCUCUAUGCAAGAAUAUCACCACCAGUGGUUCAGUGAUAGUGACCUUUU
rfam:Tupaia chinensis contig3961, whole genome shotgun sequence.